rnacentral:rRNA from 1 species
GAUGAACGCUGGCGGCGUGCCUAAUACAUGCAAGUCGAGCGAACAGACGAGGAGCUUGCUCCUCUGACGUUAGCGGCGGACGUGUGAGUAACACGUGGAUAACCUACCUAUAAGACUGGGAUAACUUCGGGAAACCGGAGCUAAUACCGGAUAAUAUAUUGAACCGCAUGGUUCAAUAGUGAAAGACGGUUUUGCUGUCACUUAUAGAUGGAUCCGCGCCGCAUUAGCUAGUUGGUAAGGUAACGGCUUACCAAGGCAACGAUGCGUAGCCGACCUGAGAGGGUGAUCGGCCACCCUGGAACGGAGACACGGUCCAGACUCCUACGGGAGGCAGCAGUAGGGAAUCUUCCGCAAUGGGCGAAAGCCUGACGGAGCAACGCCGCGUGAGUGAUGAAGGUCUUCGGAUCGUAAAACUCUGUUAUUAGGGAAGAACAAAUGUGUAAGUAACUAUGCACGUCUUGACGGUACCUAAUCAGAAAGCCACGGCUAACUACGUG